CCUGGCUCAGGACGAACGCUGGCGGCGCGCCUAACACAUGCAAGUCGAACGAGAGAGAAGAAGCUUGCUUCUUCGAUCGAGUGGCGAACGGGUGAGUAACGCGUGAGGAACCUGCCUCAAAGAGGGGGACAACAGUUGGAAACGACUGCUAAUACCGCAUAAGCCCACGGGUCGGCAUCGACCUGAGGGAAAAGGAGCAAUCCGCUUUGAGAUGGCCUCGCGUCCGAUUAGCUAGUUGGUGAGGUAACGGCCCACCAAGGCAACGAUCGGUAGCCGGACUGAGAGGUUGAACGGCCACAUUGGGACUGAGACACGGCCCAGACUCCUACGGGAGGCAGCAGUGGGGAAUAUUGCACAAUGGGGGAAACCCUGAUGCAGCGACGCCGCGUGGAGGAAGAAGGUCUUCGGAUUGUAAACUCCUGUUGUUGAGGAAGAUAAUGACGGUACUCAACAAGGAAGUGACGGCUAACUACGUGCCAGCAGCCGCGGUAAAACGUAGGUCACAAGCGUUGUCCGGAAUUACUGGGUGUAAAGGGAGCGCAGGCGGGAAGACAAGUUGGAAGUGAAAUCUAUGGGCUCAACCCAUAAACUGCUUUCAAAACUGUUUUUCUUGAGUAGUGCAGAGGUAGGCGGAAUUCCCGGUGUAGCGGUGGAAUGCGUAGAUAUCGGGAGGAACACCAGUGGCGAAGGCGGCCUACUGGGCACCAACUGACGCUGAGGCUCGAAAGUGUGGGUAGCAAACAGGAUUAGAUACCCUGGUAGUCCACACCGUAAACGAUGAUUACUAGGUGUUGGAGGAUUGACCCCUUCAGUGCCGCAGUUAACACAAUAAGUAAUUCACCUGGGGAGUACGACCGCAAGGUUGAAACUCAAAGGAAUUGACGGGGGCCCGCACAAGCAGUGGAGUAUGUGGUUUAAUUCGACGCAACGCGAAGAACCUUACCAAGUCUUGACAUCCCUUGACGGACAUAGAAAUAUGUUUCUCUUCGGAGCAAGGAGACAGGUGGUGCAUGGUUGUCGUCAGCUCGUGUCGUGAGAUGUUGGGUUAAGUCCCGCAACGAGCGCAACCCUUAUGGUCAGUUACUACGCAAGAGGACUCUGGCCAGACUGCCGUUGACAAAACGGAGGAAGGUGGGGAUGACGUCAAAUCAUCAUGCCCUUUAUGACUUGGGCUACACACGUACUACAAUGGCGUUAAACAAAGAGAAGCAAGACCGCGAGGUGGAGCAAAACUCAGAAACAACGUCCCAGUUCGGACUGCAGGCUGCAACUCGCCUGCACGAAGUCGGAAUUGCUAGUAAUCGUGGAUCAGCAUGCCACGGUGAAUACGUUCCCGGGCCUUGUACACACCGCCC
rnacentral:rRNA from 1 species